UGGUAUUUUUUGCCUUUUUUUUUCAAUUCUUCUUUUGUGUCUGGCAGCAGAUUCUUCUCAUUCCCAUCCCUAGCAAAAGGAAUCCCUGCUAAUGAAGUGCUCACAAGAGGGAAAACCAGUUUGGCUAUUAAGGGAACCUGUCGACACAGAGCAGAGCAAGAUAAGGCCAGGUUUCAGAAAGAAUAGCUGUUUACCAUCAAAGCAACUGGGUUCCAUACAGACAUGGUAUAUUAUACACAAAGACGAAGGUGGAUACCCUGAGGUGGAGAAGAGACUGAAUAUGCCCACUGCAUCCAAAGCAAGGCUGGAGCUGACUUGAGCUUAUUUGGCUUCAUAAAGCUUGAACACCAUAGAUGCUUUUAUAUGUCUUUCCUGUUCGAUUACUCUGGAUAGAGUGUGCUACUCCUAACACAAAGCAAAACCAAACCAAAAAACAAACCUCUCUUUUUCAUUUCCUUAAAGAAAAAAGAAAUUUAAUUUGGAUUCAGAUAAUACCCUUAUAACUUCUAAGGCAGUCAAGCAAAGAGGGGAACAGAUAAUUAGGAGAUGAUGGGAGCCAGCACAAAGCCAAAUGGAAGAAAACAGGCACACAGUAAGGUGGCAAAAGCCACCACCUAAUCCAUUAACAGCCUGCACUAUAAUUACGCUUGGCUCUGGCAUUAAACUGGUGAAAGCACAAAGGAGACACUAUUAAAGUCUUAAUUCCCGCAAAAGGAAGCUCAUCCUGUGUAGCAGCAAGUACUGUGCACCAAAGCGGCACCUAAAUGAGCAUUAUGGCAAAUUCUAAUUUAGCACUUAGUAGGAGCAUUCCACAAAAUUGCAAAAAUAAAGAGGAAGAAAGCUGAACGUGGUAAUUCAUGCCUGUAGUCCCAGCUACUCAGGAGGCUGAGGCAGGAGGAUUGCCUGAGCCCAAGAGUUUGAGGCUAGCCUGGACAACAUAGCAAGACUUUCAUCUCUACACAAAAUUAAAAAUUAGCUGGAUGUGGUGGCAUGUACCUGUAGUACCAGCUGGUCGAGAGGCUGAGACAAGAAGAUUGCUUGAGCCCAGGAGUUCAAAGUCAGCCUGGGCAACAUAGCCAGACCCUGUUUCUCAAAAAUAAUUAGAAAAAUAAAUAAAGGAGAAGAAAAGACUAGGUGGUGUUUCUUUAAAGGCAGUUCUUGCUGUUGCUCUAUGGGUUCACU
ensembl:lincRNA